rnacentral:rRNA from 1 species
UUUAAGAGUAAAUUUAAAUUCUUAAUUAUUAUUAGUUAAAUUCUUUAAAGUUAAAAAUUUUGGCGGUAUUUUAGUCUUUUCAGAGGAACCUGUUCUGUAAUUGAUAAUCCACGAUUUAUUUUACUUUUUUUAUUAGUUUGUAUAUCAUCGUAGUUUGAAUAUUUUAAAAGAAUUAUAAUAUUCAAAAUUUUAAAUAAAAAAGUAAAUCAGAUCAAGGUGCAGUUUAUAAAAAAGAAGUAAUGGGUUACAAUAAUUUUAAUUAAAUGGUAUAAAAGUUGAAAUAUUUUUAUUAAAGUGGAUUUGAAAGUAAUAUAAUUUAUUUAAAUUAUAUGAUUUAAGCUCUAAAAUAUGU